GAUGAACGCUGGCGGCGUGCCUAAUACAUGCAAGUCGAGCGAACGGACGAGAAGCUUGCUUCUCUGAUGUUAGCGGCGGACGGGUGAGUAACACGUGGAUAACCUACCUAUAAGACUGGGAUAACUUCGGGAAACCGGAGCUAAUACCGGAUAAUAUUUUGAACCGCAUGGUUCAAAAGUGAAAGACUGUCUUGCUGUCACUUAUAGAUGGAUCCGCGCUGCAUUAGCUAGUUGGUAAGGUAACGGCUUACCAAGGCAACGAUGCAUAGCCGACCUGAGAGGGUGAUCGGCCACACUGGAACUGAGACACGGUCCAGACUCCUACGGGAGGCAGCAGUAGGGAAUCUUCCGCAAUGGGCGAAAGCCUGACGGAGCAAAGCCGCGUGAGUGAUGAAGGUCUUCGGAUCGUAAAACUCUGUUAUUAGGGAAGAACAUAUGUGUAAGUAACUGUGCACAUCUUGACGGUACCUAAUCAGAAAGCCACGGCUAACUACGUG
rnacentral:rRNA from 1 species